AAUAUAUAUAAAUGCAAACUCUUCUCGAAAAAUUAAACAGUUUCAAUUGUGGGUCGUUUGAAGUAGUUAAAGUUCUCGGUUUUUGAAGAGAAAGAUGAAGUUGUUCUGUGCCAUUUUCGUUGCUCUGUGCUUAUUCGUGUUGUCGACUUCGGCUGCAGGUCGAAGCGAUGGAGAAAGAUGUACAUUAGAUACCCAAUGUGCAGAUGCAUUAGCAUGCAAAGAUCGUCGCUGCAAAAAUCCUUGCGCUGACAAAGUGUGUGCCGCCAAUGCUGUAUGCACAGCAACCAAUCAUGUCGGCGUUUGUAGCUGUGCAAGUGGCUACAGCGGCCACCCGCUUACCGAAUGUAGCAGAGAAGAAUCGUGUACAUAUAACGUACAGUGCGACUCAAAUCGGGCGUGUAGAAACGGAAAAUGUGUCAACCCGUGUCUCACUGAUCAAACUUGCAAGAACAAAAAUUGCAAAGUCUUAAACCAUACUCCUGAAUGCUGAAAAACAACCAAAUUACCAAUUUAUAUACCUAGCAUCUCAAACAAGAUGGUUGUCUCUUUUUCAAGUGUCAAUGAAACUAAAAAGUGAAAUGAAAUGUAAUAAAAUUCAAUGUGAAUAAAACCAAUCAAAUUUGACACAGUGAAAAAAUCA